UACGGGGGGGGCAAGCGUUGUUCGGAAUUACUGGGCGUAAAGGGCUCGUAGGCGGCCAACUAAGUCGGACGUGAAAUCCCCAGGCUCAACCUGGGAACUGCGUCUGAUACUGGAUGGCUUGAAUCCGGGAGAGGGAUGCAGAAUUCCAGGUGUAGCGGUGAAAUGCGUAGAUAUCUGGAGGAACACCCGUGGCGAAGGCGGCCAUCUGGACCAGCACUGACGCUGAGGCACGAAAGCGUGGGGAGCAAACAGG
rnacentral:rRNA from 1 species